rnacentral:pre_miRNA from 1 species
AAACUCCACAGACUUGGUCCCCAGGCUGGGCUGGAUGAGUAUCUCUUGGAAAGGCUCACCCUCAAGCACACCCAGGAGC